GCUGGGUGUGGUGGCGUGCGCCUGUACUCCCAGCUACUCAGGAGGCUGAGGCAGAAGAAUUGCUUGAACCUAGGAGGCGGGACUGCAGUGAGCCGAGAUUGUGCCACUGCACUCCAGCCUGGGCAACAGAGUGAGACUCUGUCUCAA
rnacentral:SRP_RNA from 2 species